GCGUUUGACAUAUGUGCCCUAAAAGCAUAGAGUUAGGAUUAAGAUCCGCCCGAUCUUGGAAGCUGAAGAGGAUCACUUCUGAUUAGUACUUGGAUGGGAAACAGCCUAGGAAUACCAGGUGUUGAAAGCU
rnacentral:rRNA from 11 species